GGCCAGGAGGACACUGUAGAGAGUGGGACCUGCUGGACACUGCGUGCCGAUGAGACAUCCUUCGAGGGCAGCCACAGGACAGGAUGGAAAAUUUACAGCCCAGAUAAGCCAGUGUUCAAAUGCACACUGAGAAUCUAGCAAAAGCGUGGCAUCAUCAUCAUUGCAAUCCUCUAUAAACUGCAGCACCCAUCACCAGCCCCUAGUGGCUACUCACUCACCUGCUGGUAAAUAACAGGACACGUGUGAUGACUGGUUUAUGUGCUAUUUCUGGGGCUUAUGAGCGGCCUCAGAAGACCUCACCAUCUACGUAUUGGACAGCAAAGCUCUUGUAAUUGAGAAACCAAUAUCCUCUCUGACAGCACUC
rnacentral:lncRNA from 1 species